CUUCUCCCAUCACCAAAAUGUGCUCAGUUUCCUUGGGUGAUCUCAUUCAGGAAACAUGGACAUGGAACAGUUAUUUUACUUAGAAAAGCUUCAAGAUUCCAGGAUGAAAGUGUGAGAAUCAAGGGGUUUUGGUGGCUGAUGUUAAUGCUGUGGAGAGCUGCUAAUGCAAGGCCCUGUGUGGCAGGGACGGAGUCUGCAAAGAUGAACUCAACGGCCAUUGCAUGGAGAUGAAGGUGAAGCUUAAGUUGCAAUAAACAACCUAAGACAUCAGAGAUACCAGGACUCUGUGAUGCUUGCCAAGGAAAGCCUCAGCAAGAGUAGAUUGGAGCCUGCACAAGGCAGAGGUCCUGUUCUCUGAAAACAAAUGCACUGGAGAUGUGUGGCUAUCCAAGGACAUUGGAGUCUGGAUGGCUUCAUUAUAAGAACCUAGAUAAUGAUUUAAGGUGCAGGAUUUGGUUUGGACCUGCUGGGUUUCAAUCUUGUCUUGGUCUGAUUGUUCCUGCUGUAAGAAAAAAAUAUUUCCCCUUUCAGAAUAAGAAGGUUUGCUUUACACCAUUGGAUAUAUCUAACACUUAUUUUGUAUUGUAGAGGGCCUCACAGUUAACCGAUUGCCUUAGACUUAAAUGAGAGUGUCUUUAAAGAGCUUGUGUGGGUAUGUCAAUAGAUAUGUAACUUAGGGGCAAAGGCCUACAAUGGGCAUCACUGGGUUGGAGGCUCAGAAAAAAAGGACAAAGCAAGCAGAACACUGGUGUUGAUCAGUCUGUGCUUCCUGACUGCAGACAGCAGGUGACCAGGUAUCGCCCAUUUCUGCUGCCAUGCUUUCUCCAACAUGACCCUGUAUGCUCAAACCAUGAAGCAAAAAGCUCCAGCGGUGACCCAAAGUCCACUCUUUCCUUUUUAUUUUUCUUGGGGAUUUUGCAACAGCAAUGACACUAAUACAGUAGCCCUUGGCAUGCUUUGCUUGCUCCUUAGUGUCAUACAUCUGAGAAUUUCACAUUUCAUAGUUCAGUUACCUUCUGUGAGUCAGAUGGAAUUUAAAAAUAAACGUCUAUUCUUAUCUAAAUAUUUGCAUAUAUAUGUUUUAAAUGACUAUAAUGUCUGCUAUAGUUCUUACUGCAUAAAAGUCUCAUGAUAGUGUAUACAUAUUAUAAAUAAUUUCCUUUCUGAAUAAAUUUUCAUAAUAAUUUUGUACUGAGCACACAGUAUUUGAGUGUGCCAUAAAUACUCAAAAUGUACACCUAGGUUUAAAUUUAACAGGUUUUCAAAAGUCUGUUGGAAAUUUAGCUACAGUGGUUACUUCAUAAAAAAAAGUAUGUAAAAGCUUAAAGUAGAGUUAUUAGGUAGAUUAUUAAGGCUCAAUUCUGUGGAAUUGGCAUAUGGCAAAUUUUCUCAAAAAAUACCCAUCCUUGAGUGAAACAGUAAAGCUUCUUGUGCCAUCAAAAAUUCAUC